GCCGAGGUCGCUUAGCCCGGUAUAGCGCGGGCCUGGAAAGCCCGUGGGAGCAAUCCCUCGCGA
rnacentral:tRNA from 1 species